rnacentral:lncRNA from 1 species
GGAUAUCAGGUAUUUAUAAGCUUCUAUGUUGACAUGUUUUAUAUUCAGCAUUUCUCUCUCCCAUGCCUGGGGGUACGUGCUUGUGGCAGCCUUCCACAUCAGUGUCCUCAAAGUCUGACCAAGGAACUAUUUUCUAAAGUUUGCGUAUAGGUGCCUCAUGCAGAAUCUUUGGUCUGCCUUAGGCAAAAGUUCCUCUAUAGCAUGCACCAACCCCUGAC